AGGACUAACGCUGGCGGCGUGCCUAACACAUGCAAGUCGAACGAGGGGUAGCAAUACCCCUAGUGGCAGACGGGUGAGUAACACGUAGUCAACCUACCUCUUAAUGGGGGAUAACUAGCCGAAAGGUUAGCUAAUACCGCAUACGAUCGUCGAGUGGCAUCACACGACGAUGAAAGGAGCAAUCCGUUGAGAGAGGGGACUGCGUCCCAUUAGUUAGUUGGUGGGGUAAUGGCCUACCAAGACUCCGAUGGGUAGCUGGCUUGAGAGAGCGACCAGCCACACUGGAACUGAGACACGGUCCAGACUCCUACGGGAGGCAGCAGUGAGGAAUUUUCCGCAAUGGGGGAAACCCUGACGGAGCGACGCCGCGUGUGGGAAGAAGGCCUUCGGGUCGUAAACCACUGUCGAGGGGACGAUAUUGACGGUACCCCUGGAGGAAGCCCGGCUAACUACGCGCCAGCAGCCGC
rnacentral:rRNA from 1 species